AAGUUCCAACUGGUCUGGCAGUGUGCCUGGGACAACGCCCUGCUGGAACAAUAGAUAGGAAUUGUUCCAGCAGGGCGUUGUCCCAGGCACACUGCCAGACCAGUUGGAACUUGCUGUUU